rnacentral:rRNA from 1 species
AGCUGAGUUUGAUCCUGGCUCAGAUUGAACGCUGGCGGCAUGCCUUACACAUGCAAGUCGAACGGCAGCACGGGUGCUUGCACCUGGUGGCGAGUGGCGAACGGGUGAGUAAUACAUCGGAACGUACCUUAUCGUGGGGGAUAACGCAGCGAAAGUUGCGCUAAUACCGCAUACGCCCUGAGGGGGAAAGCGGGGGACCGUAAGGCCUCGCGCGAUUAGAGCGGCCGAUGUCUGAUUAGCUUGUUGGUGAGGUAAAACGCUCACCAAGGCGAUGAUCAGUAGCUGGUCUGAGAGGACAAUCAGCCACACUGGGACUGAGACACGGCCCAGACUCCUACGGGAGCAGCAGUGGGGGAAUUUUGGACAAUGGAGAAACUCUGACCCCAGCGACGCCGCGUG